GACGGGUGAGUAAUGCCUAGGAAAUUGCCCUGAUGUGGGGGAUAACCAUUGGAAACGAUGGCUAAUACCGCAUGAUGCCUACGGGCCAAAGAGGGGGACCUUCGGGCCUCUCGCGUCAGGAUAUGCCUAGGUGGGAUUAGCUAGUUGGUGAGGUAAGGGCUCACCAAGGCGACGAUCCCUAGCUGGUCUGAGAGGAUGAUCAGCCACACUGGAACUGAGACACGGUCCAGACUCCUACGGGAGGCAGCAGUGGGGAAUAUUGCACAAUGGGCGCAAGCCUGAUGCAGCCAUGCCGCGUGUGUGAAGAAGGCCUUCGGGUUGUAAAGCACUUUCAGUCGUGAGGAAGGUAGUGUAGUUAAUAGCUGCAUUAUUUGACGUUAGCGACAGAAGAAGCACCGGCUAACUCCGUGCCAGCAGCCGCGGUAAUACGGAGGGUGCGAGCGUUAAUCGGAAUUACUGGGCGUAAAGCGCAUGCAGGUGGUUUGUUAAGUCAGAUGUGAAAGCCCGGGGCUCAACCUCGGAAUUGCAUUUGAAACUGGCAGACUAGAGUACUGUAGAGGGGGGUAGAAUUUCAGGUGUAGCGGUGAAAUGCGUAGAGAUCUGAAGGAAUACCGGUGGCGAAGGCGGCCCCCUGGACAGAUACUGACACUCAGAUGCGAAAGCGUGGGGAGCAAACAGGAUUAGAUACCCUGGUAGUCCACGCCGUAAACGAUGUCUACUUGGAGGUUGUGGCCUUGAGCCGUGGCUUUCGGAGCUAACGCGUUAAGUAGACCGCCUGGGGAGUACGGUCGCAAGAUUAAAACUCAAAUGAAUUGACGGGGGCCCGCACAAGCGGUGGAGCAUGUGGUUUAAUUCGAUGCAACGCGAAGAACCUUACCUACUCUUGACAUCCAGAGAACUUUCCAGAGAUGGAUUGGUGCCUUCGGGAACUCUGAGACAGGUGCUGCAUGGCUGUCGUCAGCUCGUGUUGUGAAAUGUUGGGUUAAGUCCCGCAACGAGCGCAACCCUUAUCCUUGUUUGCCAGCGAGUAAUGUCGGGAACUCCAGGGAGACUGCCGGUGAUAAACCGGAGGAAGGUGGGGACGACGUCAAGUCAUCAUGGCCCUUACGAGUAGGGCUACACACGUGCUACAAUGGCGCAUACAGAGGGCAGCCAACUUGCGAAAGUGAGCGAAUCCCAAAAAGUGCGUCGUAGUCCGGAUUGGAGUCUGCAACUCGACUCCAUGAAGUCGGAAUCGCUAGUAAUCGUGGAUCAGAAUGCCACGGUGAAUACGUUCCCGGGCCUUGUACACACCGCCCGUCACACCAUGGGAGUGGGCUGCAAAAGAAGUAGGUAGUUUAACCUUCGGGGGGACGCUUACCACUUUGUGGUUCAUGACUGGGGUGAAGUCGUAACAAGGUAGCGCUAGGGGAACC
rnacentral:rRNA from 1 species